GUCAGGUACCCCAUGCCUAAAGGCAGGGGCUUGUGAAAGCAAGCCUGGACCUGACCAGACUCAGCCAGAGCUGAUGGAUAUAAUCAUCAAGGCUAUCGGGCUACGAUAGAGGGAAGUGUUGAAGUUCCUACCUACGGGUGCGUGCCAGCCGGUAGCUCUAGA
rnacentral:sRNA from 21 species